CCUGUCCGUGAGAAGCACUAGUGGAUCUUCCUUCACUAAAUCCCAUCACAAUUAGCUCCUCUUACACGCUUUGGUUCAAAUGUUGGUGAACGCAGCAGAGGAUCUGCCGCAAAUUGGACACCACUGAGAUCUGCGUGAUCGCACGAGUUUGGGGUUUCAAAUGCUGGUCCUGUCGGGAUUUGUUGGCGAUUGCAACUCUGAGCAGGAUCGGCCGCAAAUGGGACUGAUUGCAGCCGUUGUUUCAAUCACCAUCAUCUUGGCCUCGAUGCUGUGCGUUCUGGUCCUGAGACAACUGACGAGAAUGAAGAAAAGCCAGAGGAGCCCGGAGGCAAUGCUGAGCGUGGAAGAUGUGCCGCCAGGAUAUAAGUACGAUGUGUUCUUGAGUUUCAAGGGAUCAGACACACGCAACAACUUCACCGAUUGCCUUUACCACAGAUUGAGACUCGCUGGGGUCCAUGUCUUCCUAGACAACGAAGAACUCAAAGUCGGCAAAAAAAAUUGGUGGUGAGCUUUUGAAAGCGCUCAACAAGUCUCGGAUCUACAUACCUAUCUUCUCCCAAAACUAUGCUACCAGUUCAUGGUGUCUCCGUGUGGUUGCACACAUGAACAAAUGCACCUCAAAAUCAGAUGGGAAGAAAGAGAACUCCCCAUCUUUUUUUAUUCAACUUUGAUGCAUUGAGGUGGAGGGAGGAUGCUCUUGUAAAGGUUGCACAUCUAGAGGGAUGGGAACUUAAAGGACAACAGUAAUUUUCCUCAACCUUUUGAUUAUCAUUCAUAAGCACGAUAGUUACACUACUCAAUUGGAGAAAUUUGUCAUUCCAAAAUUCAAGAAUUGAAGACAUUUUUUGCAUUAGAAGUUAUGACAGCCAGAGCCGACAAAAAUGAUAUCAGAUCCGGCUACCAACGAAAGGCUUAGACUGAUUGGAAUCAAAUCCUGUUCCACAAGAUCCUAUAUCAGCUAUACGUCCACCUUGCAUUUAUGCCGGAGACGUCGCUACUGCUAUGGGCUUUGGCUUAUGUAGAUGAAAAAUGAUGAAUGGGAUUAAGGCCCUCCGUCUUUGAGGCUAAGCCUUCUAAAUUGGUCACGGCAGGAAACCCACGUAGAAGUCAACUAUUGCAUUCACCUUCGAACAAUGGAAGACUGAGCUUAAGCGUGGGAGAUGGUAAACGAAACUUAUAUAUUAAUCGAAUAUUCUAAAUCUCUCA